rnacentral:rRNA from 1 species
AGUGAACGCUGGCGGUAGGCCUAACACAUGCAAGUCGAACGGCAGCACAGUAAGAGCUUGCUCUUACUGUUGGCGAGUGGCGGACGGGUGAGGAAUACAUCGGAAUCUACUUUUUCGUGGGGGAUAACGUAGGGAAACUUACGCUAAUACCGCAUACGACCUACGGGUGAAAGCAGGGGAUCUUCGGACCUUGCGCGAUUGAAUGAGCCGAUGUCGGAUUAGCUAGUUGGCGGGGUAAAGGCCCACCAAGGCGACGAUCCGUAGCUGGUCUGAGAGGAUGAUCAGCCACACUGGAACUGAGACACGGUCCAGACUCCUACGGGAGGCAGCAGUGGGGAAUAUUGGACAAUGGGCGCAAGCCUGAUCCAGCCAUACCGCGUGGGUGAAGAAGGCCUUCGGGUUGUAAAGCCCUUUUGUUGGGAAAGAAAAGCAGCAGGUUAAUACCCCGCUGUUCUGACGGUACCCAAAGAAUAAGCACCGGCUAACUUCGUG